GAUUAACGCUGGCGGCGUGCCUAAUACAUGCAAGUCGAACGCUUUUUCUUUCACCGGAGCUUGCUCCACCGAAAGAAAAAGAGUGGCGAACGGGUGAGUAACACGUGGGUAACCUGCCCAUCAGAAGGGGAUAACACUUGGAAACAGGUGCUAAUACCGUAUAACACUAUUUUCCGCAUGGAAGAAAGUUGAAAGGCGCUUUUGCGUCACUGAUGGAUGGACCCGCGGUGCAUUAGCUAGUUGGUGAGGUAACGGCUCACCAGGGCAACGAUGCAUAGCCGACCUGAGAGGGUGAUCGGCCACACUGGGACUGAGACACGGCCCAGACUCCUACGGGAGGCAGCAGUAGGGAAUCUUCGGCAAUGGACGAAAGUCUGACCGAGCAACGCCGCGUGAGUGAAGAAGGUUUUCGGAUCGUAAAACUCUGUUGUUAGAGAAGAACAAGGAUGAGAGUAAAACGUUCAUCCCUUGACGGUAUCUAACCAGAAAGCCACGGCUAACUACGUGCCAGCCGCCGCAGUAA
rnacentral:rRNA from 1 species